AAAAAGAGCAAUGGUGUGGAAUGACAACCCAACACUUGGGCAUGUCCAAGCACACAGCCAGGUGACCUGGAUGUGAACCCUCCGUGGAGUUAUUUUUAGGACCUGCCUGUAAUCGUGAAGGACAUAUAUAUUUAUGGAUCUCAAAACCAACUAUCUGCACAGUGGUGGAAGAAGCAGUCCAGUCCUUUAGCCAGGAAUGCAACAUCAUGUUUGUGCCCUGUGAACCUGAAGGGGACGACCUGUCUGACAGGAAGAGCUGAGUUGUUUCCUUUGACAAGAUGGCAGCUGACCCCACACCGCUUUAGGGAAAACAUGUAUGAUAGUCGGGAUCGCGUUUGUCUUUGAAGUUCUCAGAAUUGCAGGCAAACAAGGGAAACCUUUUUAAGUUUUGUGUUUCAGAACAGAAUUAACAUGGAAGAAUGCUGAGAGGAAUUCUAUUGUUACAUUCCUCUCAUCUCAAAUACUACCUACAACUGGAGAAGGUAAUAUACCAGAGGAACAAAUACCUGAAACCAGAACACAUGUUUAAAAGCUAUGUUUAAUUUGCUGUAUAUGGUGACAAAUAUGCGGACAUGUUUCGGUUUUUAUCCACCCUUAGAGCACGUAUGAGAAAACAUUUACCUGAGAUCACUUCCUCUACUGGAAAACAAAAGGAAACUACAGACCAAUAAAAGACAGAGAUGUUUAGGGCAGACUAACUAAAUACAGUGCUCCCACUGCAUUUUUAAAACUAUUUCUGUAAUGCUUUGCACAUAUAAAGGUGGUGAGAUAUGUUUUCUAUGCUGUCAGUUCCUCACUAGAUCUUACUGUUUUUGGAUAUUUUUAUCCGUGCAGAAUUAGCGGUUGUGGGUUUUGGUGUUUUGUGAUUUGAGGAGGAAUAGUUGCCUGCCAGAUGUCAUUGUUUCCUGCUGAUUGGUUCAAAUCAAGUGAUGUGUCUUUAACAAAAAGAGAGCUCACUGCUGUCAUGCAUGCUCUGAGGAAGACUUUAAGCCAAAAUAUGUCAAUAGACUGAAAAAAAAUCAUAAAAAGAUCAAAAUACAAGGUAAAGCUUAUUUUUAAAGCUAUGAAAUGUUGCCUUUUUUCAUAAUUUUUGUACAGCCAGGUCAUCAUAUGUGUUUGAUAUAGAAAAGUAUAAAUUUACGGAGAAUUUCAACAAAAUAAGCAUAUUAUCUUUACUUAAUUGAGUCAAGAACUGAGCAGCUUUGUGCAACAGACAUUUACCUGAAGUUUGGUAGGUUUACGAGAGCCUUUUCUCCCAAACAUUACUUUGUCAUAUAACUAAACAUCACACUCC
ensembl:lncRNA